rnacentral:lncRNA from 1 species
CCGAUACUCUCUUACCUUAGGAUUUGGGAAUGUUUGUUUUAUGUCAAGCAUUUGUUGACUGAUUAGCUUGGAUUUUGAUCCUAUAUGUAGGGUAACCCUAAAGAAUCUAGGGGAUAUAACUUCUACCUUACUAAAUGAAUAAAAGUUGUUCGACAUUCUUUUUAGAAAAGGAGUACCUUAGUGAAGAAACUGAUGCAUUUAAUGUGAAACUUGUGAAGUUUGAUAGGUAGAAGAACCGAUACAAUCUAGUAGACCCAUAGAAUCAGAUUUCAUUAGAUCGAACCCAAAAUCCAUUGUAGAGGUACCAUUA